rnacentral:rRNA from 1 species
UAAGGAAUAUUGGUCAACGGACGCAAGUCUGAACCAGCCAUGCCGCGUGAAGGAUGAAGGUCCUCUGGAUUGUAAACUUCUUUUAUCUGGGACGAAAACGGGAUUUUUAUCUCAAUUGACGGUACCAGAGGAAUAAGCACCGGCUAACUCCGUGCCAGCAGCCGCGGUAAUACGGAGGGUGCGAGCGUUAUCCGGAUUUACUGGGUUUAAAGGGUGCGUAGGUGGGCUAAUAAGUCAGUGGUGAAAUCUCCGAGCCUAACUUGGAAACUGCCGUUGAUACUAUAGGUCUUGAAUUAUCUGGAGGUAAGCGGAAUAUGUCAUGUAGCGGUGAAAUGCUUAGAUAUGACAUAAAACACCAAUUGCGAAGGAAGCUUACUACAUAUAAAUUGACGCUGAGGCACGAAAGCGUGGGGAUCAA